AUGGUGGAUCUCAAGACCGCCGCCUACCAAGGCGACCACGUCCACGAAAACUUCCGCUACGAGGCGCUGCGGCGCUGUGCUGACGACCACAUCCGCGGCCCCUCCACCGUAAUGGAGCAUGAUAAGCAAGUGGAGAAGGAUUAUGAAGAGGAGGAAGAGAAUGAGGAGGACGAGGAUGAGCAAGGUACUGUGUUUGAGGAGGAAGAUUCUCAUUUUGAUGUCAAAGCACCAAGUGUUAUGCUAUGCAAAAUUGCAUUGUUUGGCUAUCAACGUUCAAUAUUUUUGUUGUAUAAAGUUCAAAGGAGGAGAUGCCCAAUUCUUUUCAUCACUAUGACCAUAUUUAAACCAUAG
rnacentral:rRNA from 1 species